rnacentral:rRNA from 1 species
CCUACGGUGUGCUGCAGUGAGGAAUAUUGGUCACUGGGCGCGAGCCUGAACCAGCCAAGUAGCGUGAAGGAUGACUGCCCUACGGGUUGUCAACUUCUUUUAUAAAGGAAUAAAGUGAGGCACGUGUGCCUUUUUGUAUGUACUUUAUGAAUAAGGAUCGGCUAACUCCGUGCCAGCAGCCGCGGUAAUACGGAGGAUCCGAGCGUUAUCCGGAUUUAUUGGGUUUAAAGGGAGCGUAGAUGGGUUGUUAAGUCAGUUGUGAAAGUUUGCGGCUCAACCGUAAAAUUGCAAUUGAUACUGGCAGCCUUGAGUACAGUUGAGGUAGGCGGAAUUCGUGGUGUAGCGGUGAAAUGCUUAGAUAUCACGAAGAACUCCGAUUGCGAAGGCAGCUUACUAAACUGCCACUGACAUUGAUGCUCGAAAGCGUGGGGAGCAAACAGGAGUAGAUACCCUAGUAGUC